rnacentral:rRNA from 1 species
GAUGAACGCUGGCGGCGUGCCUAAUACAUGCAAGUCGAGCGAACAGACGGGGAGCUUGCUCCUCUGACGUUAGCGGCGGACGGGUGAGUAACACGUGGAUAACCUACCUAUAAGACUGGGAUAACUUCGGGAAACCGGAGCUAAUACCGGAUAAUAUAUUGAACCGCAUGGUUCAAUAGUGAAAGACGGUUUUGCUGUCACUUAUAGAUGGAUCCGCGCCGCAUUAGCUAGUUGGUAAGGUAACGGCUUACCAAGGCAACGAUGCGUAGCCGACCUGAGAGGGUGAUCGGCCACACUGGAACUGAGACACGGUCCAGACUCCUACGGGAGGCAGCAGUAGGGAAUCUUACGCAAUGGGCGAAAGCGUGACGGAGCAACGCCGCGUGAGUGAUGAAGGUCUUCGGAUCGUAAAACUCUGUUAUUAGGGAAGAACAAAUGUGUAAGUAACUAUGCACGUCUUGACGGUACCUAAUCAGAAAGCCACGGCUAACUACGUG